rnacentral:rRNA from 1 species
CGAAACUGCGAAUAGCUCAUUAAUACGCUCAGAAUCUAUUUGGCGGCGACCAACAGGUCUUAAAUGGAUAGCAGCAGCAACUCUGGUGCUAAUACAUGCGAUUGUUUCUCCAGAUGUGAAUUAUGGAGGAAAAGUUGACCUCAUCAGAGGCACGCCAUUCGACUGAGUGACCUAUCAGCUUGUACUUAGGGUCUUUACCUAGGUAGGCUAUCACGGGUAACGGGCGGUUACCGUCGGACUGCCGGAGAAGGCGCCUGAGAGAUAGCGACUAUAUCCACGGGUAGCAGCAGGCGCGAAACUUUCCCACUCGAGACUUUCGGAGGAGGUAAUGACCAGUUCCAUUGGUGCCUUUUGGUACUGUGGAUAGGGGUACGGUUUUCCACCGUACCGAAACCUAGCAGAGGGCCAGUCUGGUGCCAGCAGCUGCGGUAAUUCCAGCUCUGCGAGUUUGCUCCCAUAUUGUUGCAGUUAAAACGCCCGUAGUCUGAAUUGGCCAGCAAUGGUCGUACGUAUUUUUACGUUCACUGUGAACAAAUCAGGACGCUUAGAGUAUGGCCACAUGAAUGACUCAGCGCAGUAUGAAGUCUUUGUUUUCUUCCGAAAACAAGCUCAAUGAGAGCCAUCGGGGGUAGAUCUAUCUCAUGACGAGUGGUGGAAUACUUUGACUCAUGAGAGAGAAGCUGAGGCGAAGGCGUCUACCUAGAGGGUUUCUGUCGAUCAAGGGCGAGAGUAGGAGUAUCCAACAGGAUUAGAGACCCUGGUAGUUCCUACCUUAAACGAUGCCGACAGGAGUUUGUCAUUUGUUAAUGGCAGAAUCUUUGGAGAAAUCAUAGUUCUUGGGCUCUGGGGGAACUACGACCGCAAGGCUGAAACUUGAAGGAAUUGACGGAAGGGCACACCAGGGGUGGAGCCUGUGGCUUAAUUUGAAUCAACACGGGGGAAACUUACCAGGACCAGAUGUUUUUUAUGACUGACAGGCUUCGGGUCUUUCAGGAUAUUGUUUUUGGUGGUGCAUGGCCGUUGGUGGUGCGUGGGUUGACCGGUCUAGCGUUGAUUCAGCUAACGAGCGAGAUUAUCGCCAAUUAUUUACUUUGCCGAAGUCCUUCGGUUAAAGUUCUAAUUGGGACUCCCCGGCGAUUUUUUGCAGGGGGGAAGAAGGGUAGCAAUAAAAAGG